CCCCAGAGUGGAAGCUAAGCUUAUAUCCAGUCCGGACAAAGCUGAGGACUCUGAGAAAAUGGUGGGGAUGAGCUGCUCAGCAACAGGGAAACCAGCUCCAAAAAUAACCUGGCACCUCCCCAGCAUCCUGCAGCAGAAACCAAGGGAGUACCACAUAAAGUUCAGCAACCAGACUGUGACUGUCAUCAGCAAUUUUACCCACACCCACUCCAAAAUCCUUCAGGAGUACCCCAACAUCCUUCUCUAAAUGUGACCCCGGUGCUGCCCACAGACAGCCUAGAGCAGGAUCAGUAGGUCCAGACAGCAGCAUGGCACCAGCCAUUGCCAUUGCACAAGUGUCCUGGUCCCCCUGACCUCCCUUCUCAUUCUCACCUGCCUCUUCUACCAUUGCCUCAGACACCUACGUGACCCAGAGAGAAACCCAACUUGGCCCUGCUGGGUACUUCCUGCCUGCACCUCCUGCCUGCAUCAAGGCCAAGAAGUGCAGGCAGUACAGAGCUGCAAUCAGGUGGGCUCCUGCGGUGGCCCACAGCCUUGGUGUGCCACUGAACACCUGAGAAGCUG